GGGCACUGCUGAGCCUGAGCCUGAGGCGCUGGCUGGACAAUUGGGGGCCAACCGGAAAACAGAUUGGAAUUUAAUUUACUGUAAAUAUUUAAGUAAUAUGAGACUAAAUCACCUGUCCUGUAUGAGUGACUUUCUCCGCCGAACAACACAGCCUUGUUGAACUCACAAUUGGUUGCCUUACAGCCGAAAAACGGGCUAAACUGGAUGAGUUUGCUCUCAGAAAAAGUGACCUGAGCGCCGCCAUGUUGAAUAUUUUUCAUCCUUGUUCGCAAAUGUGUUGUAAUUGCAAAAUUUAGUUUAAAAAAUCUGACUUAUUCAUUUCUUCGAUUAACUUAAAAAAAUGUUAUCUCAACUAAAAAUAUAUAAAUGUGGAUCAUUUUCCAUCAGGCCUAUCGAGUAUUCUGUUUUUACAAGAUAAAAACCGUAAGGUCAUUGUUAUGCUCGACCAACAUUAGGCCAUUACCAUUAUCAACGCAUGCAAUUCUUAUACACACAUAUCGAAUGGGGAUAUCACAAUAUAUUGUGAUGCAAUCAUACAACUUGCGCAGGAGCUAAAUCCCCGCACAGUACCGGUAUAGUAUAGUGUGAGUGGGCUACAUGACUGACACACUGGACUGGUCUGCAGCUGCAAGCACUCUAAAGUUAAACAGCUAAAAAGUCUGAGCUCAGCCAGGCCAGGAAUAGAGUUGUUUGUGCAAAGCAAAGUUCGAGCUCAUAAUUAAUAAUGAUCUAAAUGAGCAGCUCAUCUGACUUGAAACUAAAAGAAAAGAAAACAAAAACCCAGCUAAUCCAACAUGACAAGUGUAUUCCUGAGAACUCUGAGCUUUGGUCCUAGGUAUUGGAUAGUCUCGCCUCUUCUGCAUAGGCCAGCUGCACGUUGCCUAGCAACAUGGUAUCCAAAUAGACAGGGCAAGAUGACACCACAGUCAUGGACAAAGAGGUUAUCGGCCUCGGAUAGCUCAAAUGAUUUGGGUUCUGCUUACAUAGCAACCCCUGCACCACUUCUUCAGCUUGUCAACACAAUGAAAAAGAAGUCGGCCAUCAAACGAAGAUGUAAAGAUUGCAAAAUAGUGAUCAAGGACAAGAGAGCGUACGUCAUAUGCAAGACAUCACCCAGACACAACCAAGUCCAGGGAUAGCAAAAUUUCAUGUUGAGGAAUGGACUGCAGCUGUGAAAUACAAUUCAGAGAACGCUUGAUCGCAUUGAUAUUAUUUAAGGAAGUUUGUCGAUCAUCUUCAUCAAGUCAGUAUAGUCGAGUGUAAGAUUUGACCAAACAUGUCUCCAAAUGCAAGGUACAGGUGCUCUGCUUGAGUAAACUCUGUUGACUAGUAACAACACCUGGUUUGUCAAGUCUGUGCAAAAUAUGUUCAUCUUUAAAGCAAUUAUGUAACUUUUAAGAUGAUUUAUACAAUUUAUGCAGACUUUACUAUCUUUUUAAGAUAUCCUUUUUUUGUAACUGAUCAUGAAAUAUUAUUUGAUUCAAUUCUGUAGUGUUACGCUAAGUGUUAAAUUGCAACAAUUUACAACAAAAAGAAAUUUAAAAUCCAUCCAUUUAAAGUUGGGCGACAGUAUACCUACUCUUCAGGUUCUUUGUCAGUUUUCAAAGCAUAAUUUAAAUAUACUUUGGGGGAAUUCCAAUUAUAAACUUUUUGUACCAAAAUAAUAAAGAAUGUAUAUGAUUUGGGACUUUCACCAAAAUUUUGAAUGAGUUAUAUAUACUGCACAAAGUAGUGCACUAAUGGGUCUACUCUCCAUACAAAUAUAUGGUCCAUGAUCAUCAGCUGUUUUUCAGGUCAUAGCUUGAAUGGGACGGCAUCUUGUCUCUUGUGCAGUGUACCUUUCUACAUUCCUCCUAAAUAUAGAGAGAAUGGAAAGCUCACACUUGUUUCUUUCCCGCAAUUAUGUUCCGAUUUCAUUCUGGACAAAGAUGAUUUCAUUUCAGAUAGGCCAAUGAGCUAAACACAGAAUUUAUAAAGUAGAGGAGACUAAAAUGAGUUGCAUUGAUUUGAUUGCUUAAAUUGUAGGGGUUGAUGCAAGUAUUCCUAUUUGCAAUAGAUUACAAAUUUCGAUUGGAGUUUUAUGAUUGAUAGAUUAAUUGUAUAAAACUUCAUCAAAUCAUCAUACUAUCUGCUGCUAGAUGCAGCCAGCAAUGGAUUGCAAAUAAGUAAUUAAUUGCAAGACUUGUCAAUUGUGAUUCAUUUUGUACCUAAGACUGGCUUUUCAAAUGAUUGAAUUGUUUGAAUGAAUGAUUGUUUGAACAUAUCAUGUAACCAAAUGAAACAACCAAUUGUGAAAGAUACAGUAAGCAUAAAGAAAUGAUUUUUUUUUUUUUUGGGGGGGGGAGAAAUCUGCUACAAGCAUAGUUGUUUUGGUAAUUGAUAAUCCCAUAUUUCUAUGGUGUACUAUCCUGGAACACAAUUAUUCACCAAACUUUUACUCUCACUUUUCAGAGGAAAAUUUAGCAAAAUGGAAAUGUAGUUUUGUCAGAAUGUUAUCACAAUCACAUCAUAUGGUUUGCUAAAUUACUACAUUCAUAUGUCAACCUUAACUUGUGUAGAGUUUGAAAUAAUAAAGUUAUAAUUACAUGAUUCAUUUGUCGUGAAUAAAAAGAUAAUUUUAUUGCAA